rnacentral:rRNA from 1 species
UAAGGAAUAUUGGUCAAUGGACGCAAGUCUGAACCAGCCAUGCCGCGUGAAGGAAGACGGCCCUACGGGUUGUAAACUUCUUUUGUACGGGAAAAAAUCUCCGGUCGUGAAUCGGAGCUGAUGGUACCGUAAGAAUAAGCAUCGGCUAACUCCGUGCCAGCAGCCGCGGUAAUACGGAGGAUGCCAGCGUUAUCCGGAGUCAUUGGGUUUAAAGGGUGCGCAGGCGGAAUGAUAAGUCAGUGGUGAAAUCCUACGGCUAAACUGUAGAACUGCCAGUGAUACUGUCGUUCUUGAGUACACUUGGAGUGGACGGAAUGUGUCAUGUAGCGGUGAAAUGCUUAGAUAUGACACAGAACACCGAUCGCGAAGGCAGCUCACUAAAUUGUAACUGACGCUCAGGCACGAAAGCGUGGGGAUCAAACA